AUUCUACAACCAGGCAUACUUGUGCCUAGGUGAUGUGAAAGGAUACACACACUGGCUCAUGGCAUGAUCUUGUUCAGGUACUUAAUAUGGGGAAGAGAACAUGUUUGUGUGUUUCCCACAGAAUGCUGCAAGAGCAUACUGGCGACAGGCUGACCUGUGAGUUGCUGAGUGCCCUGACAAUGGGGACAGAAAAGCUGUAUUGGGUACACAGAGAAGAGGAAGAAUCAGGGAAAGCAGACGCUCACAACAAAAAUGGAGAAACUCUCCACCACAGACUACGACAAUGAGAUGCCGACUUAGAAACAACUGAAAAAGCUGACUCGUGAGGUAGAGGUACAGAGAACAAGCAAGAAUACUACUGCUCUUCAACCAGCAUAAAGAGAAGGGAAGAAGAGAGAAACAGAAGAAAAAGGCACAAAGGCAUGCCCAAAUACAGCAUGAAAGAAAUAAGAAAAAAGUCCCAGUGUUGUUCCAAUUAAGUGAGUUAAGAGCAAUAAAAUAAUCGUAGAGC
rnacentral:lncRNA from 1 species